AUGACCUUGACCGUUUUGAGGAGCACUGGUCUGGGGUUUUGUAGAAUGCCCCUCAAUUCAGCCUGUCAGAUGUUUUUCUCAUGAUUAGGCUGGGGUAUUAUUUUUUUGGGAGGAAGACCACAGAGGUCAAGAGCCAUUCUCUUCACAUCUCGUUAAGGGUCUGUACUGUCCAUAUGACUUACCACUGUUGAUGUUGACCUUGAUCACCUGGCUAAGGUAGUGUUCAUCAGGUUUAGCAACUGUAUUUUCAUUUGCUAAAUCUGUAACUCGAUUCCAGGCCUGUCAGUCUUUCAUGACCAGACCUUUGCUUACUGCUGCUGCCAUUUUUCUGCUCCAACCAUAGUGAACUGCUAACAAUUCCUCUAAUGAACUAUUCUCUGUCUCUCUUACUGCCAGGCCUUAGGGCUUGCUCUUUCCUUUGCCUGGAAUGUUCCACUCCCCCACAGCCUCCCAUCCACACCUCCCCUUCACCCGAUUAACUUACUUUUCAGUUGGGCUUCAGUGUUCCGCUUAGGUCUCACUCCUUCCGGGAAGAUUUCUUGCACCCUCCUCUGCCAAGACCAGGUUAGGUGUUGCUUCUCUGCCCUGGUCCUACUGUGUUGUGAUAUUUACCAUCCUGUGGUUGUGAACUGUUUGCUUGUCUCCCUGACCCCAGUGCAUCCCUGACAUCUUACACAGUGCCUUGUUGCAACUCAAUAAAUAAUUGCUGAAUAAAUGAAUGGUUACACCAGGCACUUCAGGUAAAGCCUUUAACACACUACCUGCCUUGUAAACAGUAGAUGCUCAGUAAAUGCUUGUCUUUUUCAAUGUAGGAAAAAUAAUCUUCCCUAGAUCUGAGCAACUGUAAUAAGUUUGUGCUCGCCCGACACCCGCAACACAUGUCCCUACCUGGAGAAGAGAUUCUGGAACAGUGGUCUCCUAGGAUUCCCUGAGAGCCACAGUUACCUGUAUCAAAGUAUCAAGGAGGCCACUUAAUGACAGAGAUAUUAGGAGUGGAAUGCCUUUUCUUCUCCUGCCCUUGGGCAUCAGACUCCAGGAUCUUUGGCCUUUGGACUCUGGGACUUGCACCAGUGGCUCCCCUAGGAUUCUCAGGCCCAGGGCCUCAUGCUGCAGACUGCACUGUUAGCUUUCCUAAUUUUGAGGCUUUCAGACUUGGACUGAGC
rnacentral:lncRNA from 10 species